GGAGAAAUCAAACUUGACGUGUCCUUCUUUGCCUCUCGUUUCAUCAAUGUUUGAUAAAAUUCAACAAGUUCGGGAGCCCGGUGAACUUUAUCACCACUCCCUGCCUCUCUAGGUAGGCUUCCUGGAGGAGGGGGCGGAGGUGGUGGUCCACCAGGAGGAGGUGGUGGAGGCAGCGGCGGCAGGGCACAAGGUAGUGGAGGUGGAGCUGGAGGUUGUCCAGUUGUAGUGGUAUUCACACAAGCAGAAGAACCACCGGCUGGCUUAGGUGGUGGCCUGGGCACCCUAGGUGGUCUCUUUUCAAUGUGGGCAAGUUUCAUCU
rnacentral:lncRNA from 1 species